GCCUGGAUGGCUCAGUUGGUUAAGCGUCUGACUUCGUCUCAGGUCACGACCUCACGGUUCGUGGGUUCGAGCCCCGCUUCGGGCU
rnacentral:tRNA from 1 species